CAUACCAUUUGAAAAAGUAGACAGCCCAUUCAAAAUGGGGUAUGUCCAGUCUUUUGUAGUAGCCACUUAGUCACAAACACUGGCCAAAGUUAGCAUUUAUAUUUGUUUGUGUUUGAAAAUGCAAGAAACAAAUAUGAACGCUAACUUUGGCCAGUGUUUUACUAGAGAAAACUGGGCUAUUUGCAACACCAUGGGUUGUCUACUUUUGCAAAUGGUAUG